AGGACGAACGCUGGCGGCGUGCUUAACACAUGCAAGUCGAGCGGAAAGGCCCUUCGGGGUACUCGAGCGGCGAACGGGUGAGUAACACGUGAGCAACCUGCCCUUAGCUCCGGGAUAGCUCCGGGAAACCGGAAUUAAUACCGGAUACGACCACAGCCGACAUCUGCUGUGGUGGAAAGGAUUCCGGCUAAGGAUGGGCUCGCGGCCUAUCAGCUAGUUGGUGGAGUAACGGCCCACCAAAGGCGACGACGGGUA
rnacentral:rRNA from 1 species